rnacentral:rRNA from 1 species
CUGCGGAAGGAUCAUUCACACAAUCCAAAAAACCCUACGUUGAGGUUUCGGCCUCGAUGUAAUAACUUAUUUGAAAAGAACUUACUUAAGUCAUUCACUAAUUCUAAAUUUUCAACGGUGGAUGUCUUGGCUCCCGUCCCGAUGAAGAACGCAGCGAAGUGCGAUAAGCAUUGCGAAUUGCAGACCUUGAGUCAUUAGAUUUUCGAACGUCCAUUGCGCCGUCCUCGGGCGGCACGCUCGCUCCAGUGUCUCUUUAAUCACUGACCAAACAAUUAAUGCGAUUGAGUCUCCAGCUCUCUCGUCAAAAGUGAAAGCACGCUGUUUCUACGGGUGGAUUUAUCCACGCUCAUUGCAGCCGUCACCUCGUGUGAACUCAAUGAGAGUAGAAGCAGGCAGUUUCUGCGAGUGCUUAGAGAAUUUAACUCUACCUGAAUCUGGUGUCGAGUGAGGUUACCCGCUGAACUUAAGAU